rnacentral:rRNA from 1 species
UGAGGAAUAUUGGUCAAUGGGCGAGAGCCUGAACCAGCCAAGUAGCGUGCAGGAUGACGGCCCUAUGGGUUGUAAACUGCUUUUAUGUGGGGAUAAAGUGCGUGACGUGUCAUGCAUUGCAGGUACCACAUGAAUAAGGACCGGCUAAUUCCGUGCCAGCAGCCGCGGUAAUACGGAAGGUCCGGGCGUUAUCCGGAUUUAUUGGGUUUAAAGGGAGCGUAGGCUGUCUAUUAAGCGUGUUGUGAAAUUUACCGGCUCAACCGGUGGCUUGCAGCGCGAACUGGUCGACUUGAGUAUGCAGGAAGUAGGCGGAGUUCAUGGUGUAGCGGUGAAAUGCUUAGAUAUCAUGACGAACUCCGAUUGCGCAGGCAGCUUACUGUAGCAUAACUGACGCUGAUGCUCGAAAGUGCGGGUAUCAAACAGG